rnacentral:rRNA from 1 species
UGGGGAAUAUUGCACAAUGGGGGAAACCCUGAUGCAGCGACGCCGCGUGAGCGAAGAAGGCCUUCGGGUCGUAAAGCUCUUUUAUGAGGGAAGAUAAUGACGGUACCUCAUGAAAAAGCCCCGGCUAACUACGUGCCAGCAGCCGCGGUAAUACGUAGGGGGCUAGCGUUGUCCGGAAUCACUGGGCGGAAAGGGUUCGCAGGCGGAAUAACAAGUCAGAUGUGAAAGGCAUGGGCUCAACCCAUGUAAGCAUUUGAAACUGGAAUUCUUGAGAAGUGGAGAGGUAAGUGGAAUUUCUAGUGUAGCGGAGAAAUGGGGAGAUAUUAGGAGGGAUACCUGUGGAGAAGGGGACUUACUUGACACAAAUCUGACGCUGAGGAACGAAAGCGUGGGUAGCAAACAGG